UCCCCCUCCAACCUUCGUUUCUCUUUCUUCUCUCACCUUCGUAGGGUUAGACCUCCUAGGUCACACUUCCCCGCCGUCGUCCUCACCAAACCGCGUCCCUGUCGCCUCCAUCCUCAAUCGCUUCCCAUCGACGGCCUUCCAUCGCUUCCCAUCAUCGGCCUUCCAUCGCUUCCGGAAAUGAUGCAGCAACCGAGAUCGAGUAUUCAGGCCAAGUAUUCAGACCGAGAUCGAGUAUUUCCGGAAAUGAAAACCAAUUUCGACGAUGAUUACGCCUUUCAAAUCACUUCCAAGAAAUAUUGGUCGUUCAUGGCGGUUUCUGCAAAAUAAAUGUUGUGCGAAAUAAACUAAUUGGAAUUCUGGUCAUCAAUAAUCAAAUGGUAUGACAUCUUACCUAAUUUCAGUUUAAAAUCUAGCACCCACUAUUUAGAUCAACAUUUUUAGCAAAUUCUCGAUUUACAUGAUGUAUUUUUUUGUGAUGCAAAGGAAAGGUUGGUCGUUAAUGGCGGUUUAUGCAAAAUAAAUGUUGUGCAAAAUAAACUAAUUGGAAUUCUGGUGAGAUUCCAACAACUUUUAUUAAAUUUUCAUUUUUUUCGAAUUGAUUCUUGAUAUUUUGUUGAUUUGAUGUGUUUUUUCCUAUUUUUGUUUGAAUAUCUUAACAAGGUCUUCAAUAAUUAAAUGGUAUGACAUCUUACCUAAUCUCAGUUUAAAAUCUAGCACCCACUAUUUAUAUCAACGUUUUUAGCAAAUUCUCGACUUACAUGAUGUAAUUAAAAUUGUUUAUUGUCAUAUUUUUUUAAUUCCUUGGUGCAAUCCUGAUACUAUUUCUGUAAGCCUUAUUUUCUUUCCUUUUUCUUUUAAUGCGAGAUAUUAGUGGAUUGCUCCUUCCUUUCUUUCCAUAGUUUUUUUUGUUUGUUCAUCUAAGAUGGGGAGUUGGAAAUUUGGGAUAGUAUUCAAUUAUUUUGAAGAGAAAUAGGAUCAAAAUUUGGUUUCUUAGCUGCGAGAACCGCCAGUUGCCAAGAAUGAAAAGCGCAUUUCAUUGAGUUAUUUGUGUUAAGAAAUGCUUAUUUCUUUAGCCUACAGAAUAGAUUGACGAAAUUUUGAGGUCUGAUUUAUUAAGUUCAUAGGAAGACUGAAUAUUAGCAUUAUGAUUUUGUUAACAAGUAGUAUUGUCUUUUUUUAGUACUGAAUUUCGAUGGUUUUUAGAUGCGUUUCUCUCUGGUUUAACUGAAACACCUUCAACCUUGAUCCUGUGCCUGAUAAAAUGUUGAGGCCAAUUAAUCAAAUUUGUUUAAAAGUUAUAAAACGUAACACCUAUUUCCUACAUUGAUCUAAAAGUUAUCAAUUUUGACUAAUGAGUGUAAAAUGUACUAUUCUAUUUUACUUUAUCAUGUGUUGAUUCAUCAUUUCAUACUCUCUCCGUCUCUUUUGAUUUUUAGGGUUUAUGCAACUAAAUUUUGGAAUCUAUGGAUUUGGGUCAAUUCGGUGACCCGUAAAGGAAUGCUGGAUCCUUUGGAAGUCCAUCUGCUUGAUUUCCUGAACAUAGUUAUCAAAGCACGUGAGCUGCAACUUCCUUUCCAGCCUUGCUUAAAGAUUGAGAAUUUUGGUGAUCUAAUCUUAAAGGCUACGGAACCACAAAUGGGUUUCUUCAAUAUCUAUGAUGAUUGGUUGAAAAGUAUUUCUUCAUAUACUUACUUACCUGCCUGACUAACUAUUUUUAGAAUCUUUGGUAAUUGUGUGACCUACAUGGAGUGUGAUUUUGUAGUAUCUGCGAUUCUAAGAGAUAAUGAUUUUCCUUCUCUUUUCUGAAGUGGUUUGCUGUCACAUAACUUUUUUGUCUUAUUAUUUCAGUGUAGGAUUAAUUGUUCUUGGUGCAUUCAUUGCUGGUGCUCGAGAUAUGUCAUUUGAUGCUUGCGGUUAUGGAAUUGUAUUUCUAGCCAAUAUUACUAGGCUAUAUACCUUGCAACUAUUGCUCGAAUUGGAAAAUCCAAUGGCCUUAAUAGUUUUGGACUUAUGUGGUGUAAUGUAGGUAUUCUUUGCGGACCAAUAUUGCUGUUUUGGACUUAUGUGAGAGGUGACCUGGAUCUCCCCUUCAACUUUCCGUACUUGCUAUCACCUGGAUCUCACCUUCAACUUUUCGUACUUGCUAUCACCUUCAACUUUCCGUACUUGCUAUCACUCAUCUGUCUGAGCAGAGACAACAGAUUGCUGAGAUUUAGAAGCAGGUGUAUUGAUGCACUGGUUCUGGUGCUACAGGCCUGUUGUCAUUGUUCAGGCCAGUCUGCUGUUGUGUAGGCCAGUUGCUGUGCUCUACUUCUGUUUGCUCUGCUGCAAUGCUGUUGUACUCUGCUGCAGUGCUACUUUACUCUGCUGUAGAUGAAGGAAAUGCUCAACUUGAAGCUACUAAUUUUCCCAAGCUGCUUUCAAUAGGUAGCUAUUUGAUGUUCUCUAUAUGUAUUGGACUCUGGGAAUAUUUUUAUAAGCAUCUUACUUUGUGUAAAAGGUAGAGAAAUUCUUAUAUAGUUCCUCAAUGAAUGUAUAUUGUCCUUUUUCUAUCACGGUAUCACUAUAUUCUCCUGCUUUUCGUUAUGGUUGUAAUUGUAAAAUUCAGAAUUAUGUUGUUUUGUGGUUGAUUAUCAUAGAAUGGUUCUAUUAAUUCUUGAA